rfam:Triticum aestivum genome assembly, contig: Triticum_aestivum_CS42_TGACv1_scaffold_556085_7AL
CCCAUCCAGGAUGAUGAGCUGAUCUCGUAUCUGCUUCACGGACUGGACAUGGACUACCAGCCGCUCGUGUCUGCCCUGGAUGCCCGCGUCACGCCGAUGUCCCUCGAUGAACUCUACGCCAUGCUGAGCAACUUCGACC